GAAACUUUGCCUCCCUCCUCCCAGCCCACCCACAUAUGAAGUGUCACGUUGUGUUUUGUUCUCGUGGCUCAGGUGUCAUCACAGAGGAGCAAUCGUAAAUGCACGUGUACAGUCUGUGGACACAGUGAAUGGAGCUUUUUAAAUUGAAACAUAGAAGACAAAGGAAGAUCAACCCCUGCAACAUUCUUCAAUAUAAGCAGCAGAGACGGACAACUGCAACUGGCUGGUCAUGAAGAGGAAGAGAAGAUAGAAAAGAGGAGCAGAGAGAGACGAGGACACAACACCAACUAAGAGAAUACAUUUAAUAAAUGAGUUUAAUGACUUGAAAGAGAGAAGAAAAAAUGUGAGCGUAACAUGGUCAGUACCCCAGCAGUCUGAGCCUAGAGGAACAUAAUUAAGGGAUAUGCAGGGUCACCUUUUCACUUACGACAGCUAGCCAAGCAUGUCUUUUAUCCUGUCUUCCUUCUCUCACCCCAACUGGUCGCUGCAGAUGGCCCCGCCCCUCCCUGAGCCUGGUUCUGCCGGAGGUUUCUUCCUGUUAAAAGGGAGUUUUUCCUUCCCACUGUCACCAAAGUGCUUGCUCAUAGGGGGUCAUAUGAUUGUUGGGUUUUUCUCUGUAUGUAUUAUUGUAGGCUCUACCUUACAAUAUAAAGUGCCUUGAGGCAAAUAUUGUUGUUAUUUAGCACUAUAUACAGUGGGGCAAAAAAGUAUU
ensembl:lncRNA